rnacentral:rRNA from 1 species
UGACGGUACCUGCAGAAUAAGCACCGGCUAACUACGUGCCAGCAGCCGCGGUAAUACGUAGGGUGCAAGCGUUAAUCGGAAUUACUGGGCGUAAAGCGUGCGCAGGCGGUUCGGAAAGAAAGAUGUGAAAUCCCAGAGCUUAACUUUGGAACUGCAUUUUUAACUACCGAGCUAGAGUGUGUCAG